rnacentral:rRNA from 1 species
GAUGAACGCUGGCGGCGUGCCUAAUACAUGCAAGUCGAGCGAACAGACGAGGAGCUUGCUCCUCUGACGUUAGCGGCGGACGGGUGAGUAACACGUGGAUAACCUACCUAUAAGACUGGGAUAACUUCGGGAAACCGGAGCUAAUACCGGAUAAUAUAUUGAACCGCAUGGUUCAAUAGUGAAAGACGGUUUUGCUGUUACUUAUAGAUGGAUCCAGCCCGCAUUAGCUAGUUGGUAAGGUAACGGCUUACCAAGGCAACGAUGCGUAGCCGACCUGAGAGGAUGAUCGGCCACACUGGAACUGAGACACGGUCCAGACUCCUACGGGAGGCAGCAGUAGGGAAUCUUGCGCAAUGGGCGAAAGCCUGACGGAGCAACACCGCGUGAGUGAUGAAGGUCUUCGGAUCGUAAAACUCUGUUAUUGGGGAAGAACAAAUGUAUAAGUAACUAUGCACGUCUUGACGGUACCUAAACAGAAAGCCACGGCUAACUACGUG